CUGUUGCUAAGAGAUGAGUGUGUUUACUGGUAACCAAGUGCCACGAAGUGAACAUCAGAUUUUUACUUUUGCAAAAUUUGCCAACGGUAAAUGUCUUGUAUCUAAUCAGGUGGACUCUUUAAUCCUCUGAGCUCCGGUCCUCUACUAGACCUCUACUAGAAGCCUGGGAGCCGCAGAAUCUUGGCUGUGCCUAAAACUGCACAUUUCCAGACUGAGAUGUCUGAUGCUGCUCCUGGGAUCUGUUUUAGACACUGCUCCAGUUUGGGGAUGACUGCCCCGAGGGCCCCAAUGACCACAGGCACAGGGCCACAGGCGUAGGGACCACAGGUGGUCCCUGUGCUCCUCGGCCCUGUAUACACAGGGUGAAUCCUAGCAACCUGCGGCCUCUUUACUGGGAGUACCGGACGUCAGCUGCUGGUGUAGACCUGCCGAUUUCUGCCGGGAUCGGUUUGAAUCAUUGACAAGUGGUUUGGGUGACUCCAGCAUUUUUAAUUAACUUGUACCGUGGAACUGCGACUAUUUUAAUGCUCCAAGGAUGUUGGGGUCCAGUAGAGGUAUAGUGACUGUUUUUAAAAGCUGUUUUACAUGUAAACAGUUGCCUCUGGCCUUGUUUAUUAGCUUUGAUAUUAGCCUAUUUGAACUCAGCAGCUCUCACACUGUGCUGUGUGCUGCGGUCUAUCGGCCACCAAAGUACAACAAAAACUUUAUAAAUGACCUUUCUGAUUUCUUGGCUGAUAUCAUGCCAAGGCAUGACUGAGUUCUCAUUGUUGGUGAUUUUAAUAUUCAUGUCUGUUGUCCUACUUCACCUAUGGCUCAGUCAUUUCUUAAUGUUAUCGAUUCUUUUAAUUUUGUGCAGUCUGUGACUGGUGCAACCCCUGAGCAUGGUCACAGUCUUGAUCUGGUUUUAUCUUCUGGUCUUCCAGUUUGUAAUUUAGUGAUUGGUGACUCAUUAUUUUCAGACCAUAUGCCUGUUUUAUGUGAGAUAACGCUGUCCUGU